rnacentral:rRNA from 1 species
CCUACGGGUGGCAGCAGUGAGGAAUAUUGGUCAAUGGGCGAGAGCCUGAACCAGCCAUGCCGCGUGCAGGAAGACGGCCCUACGGGUUGUAAACUGCUUUUGUGUGGGAAGAAAACGUUCUACGUGUAGGACACUGACGGUACCAUAUGAAUAAGCAUCGGCUAACUCCGUGCCAGCAGCCGCGGUAAUACGGAGGAUUCGAGCGUUAUCCGGAUUUAUUAGGUUGUAGGCGGACGAUUAAGGCAGAGGUGAAAUCUCAGAGCUUAACUCUGAAACUGCCAUAGAUACUGGUUGUCUUGAGUACAGUUGAAGUAGGCGGAAUGUGUAAUGUAGCGGUGAAAUGCUUAGAUAUUACACAGAACACCGAUUGCGAAGGCAGCUUGCUAAGCUGUUACUGACGCUGAUGCACGAAAGCGUGGGGAGCGAACAGGAUUAGAUACCCUAGUAGUC